rnacentral:rRNA from 1 species
AGAGUUUGAUCAUGGCUCAGAACGUACGCUGGCGGCACGCCUAACACAUGCAAGUCGAGCGGGGUAGCAAUACCUAGCGGCAGACGGGUGCGUAACAUGUGGGAAUCUGCCUUUUGGUUCGGAACAACAUGGGGAAACCUGUGCUAAUACCGGAUAAGUCCUAACGGAGAAAGUUUUAAUGCCAAAAGAUGAGCCCGCAUUUGAUUAGCUUGUUGGUGAGGUAAAAGCUCACCAAGGCUAUAAUCAAUAGCUGAUUUGAGAGGAUGAUCAGCCACACUGGGACUGAGAUACGGCCCAGACUCCUACGGGAGGCAGCAGUGGGGAAUCUUGCACAAUGGGCGAAAGCCUGAUGCAGCGAUGCCGCGUGAGUGAAGAAGGCCUUUGGGUUGUAAAGCUCUUUUGUCGGGAAAGAUAAUGACUGUACCCGAAGAAUAAGGUCCGGCUAACUUCGUGCCAGCAGCCGCGGUAAUACGAAGGGACCUAGCGUAGUUCGGAAUUACUGGGCGUAAAGAGUAUGUAGGCGGCUAGAUAAGUUAAUUGUGAAAGCCCAAAGCUUAACUUUGGAACUGCAAUUAAAACUAUUUAGCUGGAGUAUGAUAGAGGAAAGCGGAAUACAUAGUGUAGAGGUGAAAUUCGUAGAUAUUAUGUAGAACACCAGUUGCGAAGGCGGCUUUCUGGAUCAUUACUGACGCUGAGAUACGAAAGUAUGGGUAGCGAAGAGGAUUAGAUACCCUCGUAGUCCAUACCAUAAACGAUGAUUAUUAAAUGUGGGGAAUUAUUUCUCUGUAUUAUAGCUAACGCGUUAAAUAAUCCGCCUGGGGAGUACGACCGCAAGGUUAAAACUCAAAUGAAUUGACGGGGACCCG